CGCAAUAAUAAUUGCAAAAGAAUUCAUAUCUGGCUUAGAGGACGAGAGCACUUCCGGGUCAACAGCGUCGCUAUCAUCUUCCGCACACAAAAUGGAAUAUGAAUGGGGGCGUUUAAUUGACUUUUAUUUCGAUUUGGGUUUAAAAUACAGACAUUUAAGAGUAGUGCUGGCCAACAGACAUGAUAUUAAUAUUAGUGAAAGACAUCUGAAGAGAGUUUUGCGGAAAAGGGGACACUCAAGACGCAAGGAAUACUCCGACCUGGCGGUUCUGGUUGACUUCAUAAGCACACAACUAAACGGUUCUGGACAGCUUCACGGAUAUCGGUGGAUGUACGCCAAGUGCCGAGAAAAUGGUCUACGCGUGAGAAAGGAAGACGUGCGCAUUAUACUCAGGGAAUUGGAUCCAAACGGUGUCUCCAGAAGGCAAGCCAGGAGACUUCGGAGAAGAAACUACUUUUCCAGAGGACCCAACUUUAUCUGGCAUAUUGACUCUUACGACAAGUUGAAGCCGUAUGGAUUUUGUAUCAAUGGUUGCAUUGAUGGAUUUUCGAGAAAAAUGAUUUGGCUUAAUGUAUAUACAACUAACAGUGACCCAAAACUGAUUGGGGGGUAUUACGUGGAAGCUGUACAAGGUCUUGGAGGGUGUCCUAGAGUCAUGAGAGGCGAUCUUGGGACAGAGAAUUGUUAUGUUAGAGGAUUUCAGCGGUUCUUGGUCCCGACUCCAGCAGGAAGCACACUUGACAGCUACUUGGCAGGAGCCAGUACUGCCAACCAAAGAAUAGAGUACUGGUGGGGAUUUCUUAGAAAGCAGUGUGCGGAAUUUUGGAUGUCAUUGUUCGGUGAUCUUCGAGAUAACGGAUCUUUCGAUGGUGGUUUUCUGGACAAAAACCUUCUGCAGUUUUGCUUUAUGGGUUUAAUACAGGUGAGUGAAUUAACUAUUGUUAGAAAUGUAACCCUGUUUUUAUGUUGGCAGUGGCUAUCCGUACGUAGCCGUAUCAAUAUACU
rnacentral:lncRNA from 1 species